AAGGAGGAGGGGAGGUAUUGGUGAGUGGGGGUGAGGGAAGAGAAGUAGGGGGAUGAAAUGGGUGUCAUAGGAAUAUAUUGGGGAAUAUACAGAGAGAUAGAUGGAAUGGAGCCUCUGACUUGCGUCUGUAGGAGAUGAAGGACGCGGUGACACCAAGCCGGGGGCCACGGUGACAUAUUUACCCCCCUGAGCUGCGGAAUUCGUACAUUUCGUCAUGUGGAGCGUAAGAGAGGAUUAAAUCGUAUCCGGGAGGUCCAACAACCGUCCUUGUGUGCCGCAUCCACCGAUCGGGAGCAGAGACCCAACACGGCUCCUUCACCUCACAUCCCGAGAGCAGAGGUGAACGCUGGCCCAAAGCUUCUGAUAGACCACGGAAACAUGGCGAGCCAGCCGGCCCUCACAUCACCGGAUGGAUCCAGUAAUGGGAACCCACCAGAGAGAUGUCCCCG